rfam:Myotis davidii contig130130, whole genome shotgun sequence.
UCCACUGUGGCUCAGUAGUUGAGCGUUGGCCCAUGCACCAAGAGGUUGCUGGUUCGAUUCCAGUCAGGGCAC